UUCCACAGCUACUGGUCUGCCACGGUUAUUGUGGUAGCAAUUAUGGUAUUCCUCUGUGGGAAAGAGCCUGUUACAAGGCUAAACACCUCUGAACAAAACACCAAGUGGUAAUAUCUGUGACAUACAAGA